rnacentral:tRNA from 1 species
AACUAAUGAGCUUGAUAUAAGCUUAUGCCUUGAAAUCAUAAGAAAGAAAAAUAAUUUCUAUUAGUUU